GCGUCGUAUGAAAGAUCGCUGUCGCAGCACACGCACAGAAAGCAUCUAGCUUUCGCAUUCUCGCUGUGGGGAAAGUCCCCGGAGACACAGAGCGCCACCUUCUCACCCGGAACGGAAAGCGCCCAGCUUCAAAUUUGUUGAGGGGGGUGAGAUAGGUCGGGCGAAGCCGAUUUUACUCGGUCUCGUUUGCACGGGGCCAGUUCCGUUUGCCCACUCUGUCGCUAGCUUGAAGUUGAACGGCUCUAUCACCGGCGUAUUCAUGCGAAGAUAUGAGCAUGUUUGCGCUUGAGCUGUUUGAUGGAUGGCUAGCUCUUCGUUGCUCAUAGAUAGAGUUAUGCGAUCGUUGGUGUUACCUUUCCGGUCGCCUUCAACUCAAUGGGGCUUAAUCUCAUCCGACG
rnacentral:RNase_MRP_RNA from 2 species